GAAUGAACGCUGGCGGCGUGCUAACACAUGCAAGUCGAGCGGUAAGGCCCCUUCGGGGGUACACGAGCGGCGAACGGGUGAGUAACGCGUGGGUAAUCUGCCUGGAAGUGGGGGAUAGCCUCGGGAAACCGAGGGUAAUACCGCAUACGUUUCGAGCGGCGCGAGUCGCACGGAGCAAAGAUGGGGAUCUUCGGACCUGUCGCUUCCAGAUGAGCCCGCGUCCGAUUAGCUUGUUGGUGAGGUAACGGCUCACCAAGGCCUCGAUCGGUAGCCGGCCUGAGAGGGUGAUCGGCCACAUUGGGACUGAGACACGGCCCAGACUCCUACGGGAGGCAGCAGUGGGGAAUUUUGGGCAAUGGGCGCAAGCCUGACCCAGCGACGCCGCGUGGAGGAUGAAGGCCUUCGGGUUGUAAACUCCUGUCAGGCGGGAAGAAAAGCUCGCCGGUAAAUAGCCGGCGGGAGUUGACGGUACCGCCAAAGGAAGCCCCGGCUAACUCCGUGCCAGCAGCCGCGGUAAUACGGAGGGGGCAAGCGUUGUUCGGAAUUACUGGGCGUAAAGCGCACGUAGGCGGCACGGCAAGUCAGAGGUGAAAGCCCUCGGCUCAACUGAGGAACUGCCUCUGAAACUGUCGUGCUUGAGUCCGGGAGGGGAGAGCGGAAUUCCCAGUGUAGCGGUGAAAUUGCGUAAGAUACUGGGAGGAACACCGGUGGUCCGAAGACGCGCUUCUCUGGACCCGUGUACUGAACCGCUGAAGGUUCGAAAAGCUUGGCGAGCAAACAGGAUUAAGAUACCCUUGGGUAGCCCACGCCGUCAACGAUUGGGCACUUAGGUUUAGCGGGUUUCGACCCCUUCUGUCCCGAAGCUAACCGCAUUAAAGUGCCCCGCUUGGGGAGUACCGGUCGCAAGGCUGAAACUCCAAGGAAUUGACGCGGGGCCCGCCACAAGCGGGUGGAGCAUGUGGUUUAAUUCGAUGCAACGCCGAGGAACCUUACCUGGGUUUGAACUGUCUGGGGGACCGGUGCAGAGAUGUAUCUUUCUCUUUCGGAGACUCCAGGCAGAGGUGGCUGCAUGGCUUUCGUCAGCUCGUCCCCGUGAGGUGUUGGGUUAAGUCCCGCAACGAGCGCAACCCCCUGCCCCUAGUUACCAUCGGUUCGCCCUUGGGACUCUAGGGGGACUGCCGGCGUCAAGCCGGAGGAAGGUGGGGAUGACGUCAAGUCAUCAUGGCCUUGAUGUCCAGGGCAACACACGUGCUACAAUGGUCGGUACAGAGGGUCGCGAAGCCGCGAGGUGAAGCUAAUCCCAGAAAGCCGGCCUCAGUUCGGAUUGCAGUCUGCAACUCGACUGCAUGAAGUUGGAAUCGCUAGUAAUCGCGCAUCAGCAUGGCGCGGUGAAUACGUUCCCGGGCCUUGACACACCGCUCGUCACAUCACGAAAGUCGGCUGCACCAGAAGCCAGUGUGC
rnacentral:rRNA from 1 species